UUGUAGUGAGUCCAAUUAAGGUAUGGAUAAUAUAUGGUUUUAGUUAAUGGUAAAUGGUACCUUUUAUUGUGGAUCACCCCUGGACCAAAGACUUGGUACCUAUUGUUGUAAGUUCGUAUUGAUUUCGCUAAUUGUAAUAGAAAACAGACUCAAGCUCAAGCUGGGGGAGAUUGUUACCACAAUUUCAACUAUCAAUAAGCACAAUUUAGAAGGCAGAUUUAAAUUUUAUUUAUUUAUUUAUUUAUUUAUUUUUAAAUUUCCUUUAGAAAUGCUAAUUGCUUUAAUAGAGGAUUAAGUUAUCCAAGGGGUAUUGACUUUCUACGGGUAGUGUCAUCAGUAGAUCUUGGUUAUUUUUUCACUCAAAUGUACUCAAAUUUUAGUUCUUUAUUUAUAUUUUCAGAUACACAAUUUUCUAGUUGUUGCUUCUGUGUUGCAAAUUGGCAUUCAACUUUUACAUCCAAGUAAAUUUCUAUUUUAUUGGUGUUGUUUAUUAAUAUGUCCUGCUAGUGCAGAUAAAACCUUUAGUGAAGCCAACCAAAGACAUAAUGAAAGUUCGUCGCAUUAAAUAUGCUUAGCAUGAGUUUUUUCUUGAGGCUAGGUACAACAUUGGUGCAGUUAUCUUACUUUGGGCACCCGUAGUCUUGAUUGCAUUGUGGAAUAUGCAUCCAUUAUUCAAAGAAAGGGCGACAUUCCAAGCACUCACACUUUCUCUCCUUGCUAGCUAAAUUGGCUGACAAGCUAAAGAAGUCAGUGGAGGAUUAAAUUCAUUUUCUCAAGGGAAGGGUUUCAGAACUUGAAAGUGAUCUUGUGUCGAUGUCCACAAAAGUUACAUAUGCAGUUUUAAGAAAAGAAGAAGCUCUAUCUUCUGCAUUUACUAAGAUUGGCCGUCUAAAGGAAGAAAAUUCUUUAAAAACGUAAGCAUUAUUGAAUGCAUAUGGAGGGUGUUUACUGUGUUGGAGUAUAUUUGUUUCUUGCACAUGAGGGCAUGCCUUAGUUGUAAUUCUUAUGAUAGGUUGAACAAAGUGAAGUAUUGUUUAUUUAGAAAUGUGAAUAUAGGAUGCAUUGUAUGAUUUGAUUGCUAUUUGUAAUAAAUGCAUCAUUU